UGGGGAAUUUUGGACAAUGGGCGAAAGCCUGAUCCAGCAAUGCCGCGUGUGUGAAGAAGGCCUUCGGGUUGUAAAGCACUUUUGUCCGGAAAGAAAUCCUUGGCUCUAAUACAGUCGGGGGAUGACGGUACCGGAAGAAUAAGCACCGGCUAACUACGUGCCAGCAGCCGCGGUAAUACGUAGGGUGCAAGCGUUAAUCGGAAUUACUGGGCGUAAAGCGUGCGCAGGCGGUUUGCUAAGACCGAUGUGAAAUCCCCGGGCUCAACCUGGGAACUGCAUUGGUGACUGGCAGGCUAGAGUAUGGCAGAGGGGGGUAGAAUUCCACGUGUAGCAGUGAAAUGCGUAGAGAUGUGGAGGAAUACCGAUGGCGAAGGCAGCCCCUGGGCCAAUACUGACGCUCAUGCACGAAAGCGUGGGGGAGCAAACAGGAUUAGAUACCCUGGUAGUCCACGCCCUAAACGAUGUCAACUAGUUGUUGGGGAUUCAUUUCCUUAGUAACGUAGCUAACGCGUGAAGUUGACCGCCUGGGGAGUACGGUCG
rnacentral:rRNA from 1 species